rnacentral:rRNA from 1 species
AUUGAACGCUGGCGGCAUGCCUUACACAUGCAAGUCGAACGGCAGCACGGGUGCUUGCACCUGGUGGCGAGUGGCGAACGGGUGAGUAAUACAUCGGAACAUGUCCUGUAGUGGGGGAUAGCCCGGCGAAAGCCGGAUUAAUACCGCAUACGAUCCACGGAUGAAAGCGGGGGACCUUCGGGCCUCGCGCUAUAGGGUUGGCCGAUGGCUGAUUAGCUAGUUGGUGGGGUAAAGGCCUACCAAGGCGACGAUCAGUAGCUGGUCUGAGAGGACGACCAGCCACACUGGGACUGAGACACGGCCCAGACUCCUACGGGAGGCAGCAGUGGGGAAUUUUGGACAAUGGGCGAAAGCCUGAUCCAGCAAUGCCGCGUGUGUGAGAAGGCCUUCGGGUUGUAAAGCACUUUUGUCCGGAAAGAAAUCCUUGACUCUAAUACAGUCGGGGGAUGACGGUACCGGAAGAAUAAGCACCGGCUAACUACGUG